rnacentral:pre_miRNA from 1 species
AGUGGGAUAACUGGGUCAAAUGGUGGUUCCAUUCCAGGUUUUCUAAGGAAUCUCCAUAUUCCUUUACAUAGUGGUUGCACAAUUUGCAGUCUCACCAGAAAU